rnacentral:tRNA from 1 species
GGAGGUAUUGCUCAGUGGUAGAGUGCCUACUUAGCAUGCACAGGGUCCUGGGUUCAAUCCUAGCACCUCCA